GAUGAACGCUGACAGAAUGCUUAACACAUGCAAGUCCACUUGAACUUCGGUUUGGGUGGCGGACGGGUGAGUAACGCGUAAAGAACUUGCCUCACAGAUAGGGACAACAUUUGGAAACGAAUGCUAAUACCUGAUAUUAUGAUUAUAUGGCAUCGUAUAAUUAUGAAAGCUAUAUGCGCUGUGAGAGAGCUUUGCGUCCCAUUAGCUAGUUGGAGAGGUAACGGCUCACCAAGGCGAUGAUGGGUAGCCGGCCUGAGAGGGUGAUCGGCCACAAGGGGACUGGGGCAGGGGCCGUACGCCUACGGGAGGCAGGGGUGGGGAAUAGUGGACGAUGGGCCAAGAGUGUGAUGCAGGAAUUCUGUGUGCACGAUGAAGUUUUUCGGAAUGUAAAGUGGUGCGAGUUGGGAAGAAAGAAAUGACGGUACCGACAGAAGAAGUGAGGGCUAAAUACGUG
rnacentral:rRNA from 1 species